CAGCCGCCACGGUAAUACAGAGGGUGCAAGCGUUAAUCGGAAUUACUGGGCGUAAAGCGCGCGUAGGUGGUUCGCCAAGUUGGAUGUGAAAUCCCCGGGCUCAACCUGGGAACUGCAUCCAAAACUGGCGAGCUAGAGUAUGGUAGAGGGUGGUGGAAUUUCCUGUGUAGCGGUGAAAUGCGUAGAUAUAGGAAGGAACAUCAGUGGCGAAGGCGACCACCUGGACUGAUACUGACACUGAGGUGCGAAAGCGUGGGGAGCAAACAGGAUUAGAUACCCGUGUAGUCCCUGUCUCUUAUAC
rnacentral:rRNA from 1 species